CUUAGUAUUUUAAUCAAACUUUAUCUCUAUCACCUGUCUCACAAAUUGGAAUUUAUCAUCAUGCAUCAUCUUAACUUCAAUCAAACACUAGAAUUUUCAAAAAGCAAACUUAUCACACAAAAUAGAGCAAAGUUGAAUCAAAACAGUUUAGUUCAUUCAAGCAGAGCAAAAUAAAAAAUAAAUAAAAGAAAACACACAUUAAAACCAAAAAUAAAAAGUAAAAGUUCAGAGCAUUGGGUUGCCUCCUAGCAAACGCUUCUUUAACAUCACUAGCUUGACCGUGACACCCAGCGAUUGGCUGCAAUGUUCUUUUCACAGGAAGUUAAAUCUUCAACUUCUUGAAGAUUCUUUUUAGUUGCGCGUAUUGUUUUUCUUUAUUCUUCUUGUGAUGCUUCUUUGAGUAAUACAGAGGUUUUUCAUACUCUCUUUCUUUGUCUUCCUCUGCGUCUAUUUUUUCAUUAAAAAAUUCUUUUUCUUCUCUCUCUAUUUUUCUCUCAUCCUCUUUCUUUUCUUCCCUCUCUUUUUCUUUUUCUUUUCCCUCACUAUCUUGCUCUUCUCUCUCUUCUUCAUCUUUUUCUUUUUCUUUUUCUUUUUCACUCAUCCUUUUCUUUUCUUUGCUCUCAUCUACCUCCUUCUCUCUCUCUCACUCAAACUCACUUCUUUUUCUUGCUCUAUUUUUUUCUCAUAAAAAACAUUGCCACCAUCAGUGAAAGUGGCUUGGCGUUCCCUUAUAGGGCUAUCAUUUAUAUUGGCCCCAAUAGCAUCCAGCUUUUGAAUUAUGAAUCUGCACUGCACUUCUAU
rnacentral:lncRNA from 1 species